GCAGCAGUGUAGCAUAGUGGUAAGGUGCAGGGCUCAUAACCUAAAGGCUGCUGGUUUGAUUCCAUGCUGGUGCA